UAAAUGACUCUCGGCAACGGAUAUCUCGGCUCUUGCAUCGAUGAAGAACGUAGCGAAAUGCGAUACUUGGUGUGAAUUGCAGAAUCCCGUGAACCAUCGAGUCUUUGAACGCAAGUUGCGCCCGAAGCCAUUAGGCUAAGGGCACGCCUGCCUGGGUGUCACAC
rnacentral:rRNA from 1 species